rnacentral:rRNA from 1 species
AUGAUGGAUAGGCCAAGUUCUUCUACCAACCCACUCUUCCUAGAGCAAGACGACGACCCGAACAACUAUGUCACCAAGCUCCACCUAUUCGGCACACAACGAGCUUUGCAUCAAGAGCAACAAGCAAUGAGCGACCGCAUCGAUCAUCUCGCCACCGACUUGCGACUCUCUGAGCAACAUAUAAGAGACUACUUCGACAACAAGCUCGAUGAACAAAAGCAAGAGAGCAAUGCAAGAAUGGACGAGAUUCAUGCCUUGUUGCUCAACCGCUCUUCUACCUCUUCGUCCUACUCAAGACGGAGCCGCUCAAGUCGACACUCCGAAGACACCAUCUCUGGCUCAAGUACUCCGUUAUCGAACACUCUUCGUCGUGCCACACGUCAAGAUCGUCAAGCAAACCGCAACCCCCUACACAACACCGAUCAUCAAGAGCAACUUCGAGCGCAAGAGCAUCGACAUCGUCAAAAUCAAGCUACAUUCGCGCAAGCACAAGAACGGCAACGCCUACGACAACAAGAGGAAGAGCGAGCACGACAACCCAAGAUGCACAAGAUGCCGAGGCUCAACGUCAAGAACAACAACUACGUGAAGCUCAAGUACUUGAGGCGCAACGUUCCCUCCGAGAUUCAAGUCGAGCUGUAG